rnacentral:rRNA from 1 species
GAUGAACGCUGGCGGCGUGCCUAAUACAUGCAAGUCGAGCGAACAGACGAGGAGCUUGCUCCUCUGACGUUAGCGGCGGACGGGUGAGUAACACGUGGAUAACCUACCUAUAAGACUGGGAUAACUUCGGGAAACCGGAGCUAAUACCGGAUAAUAUAUUGAGCCGCAUGGUUCAAUAGUGAAAGACGGUUUUGCUGUCACUUAUAGAUGGAUCCGCGCCGCAUUAGCUAGUUGGUAAGGUAACGGCUUACCAAGGCAACGAUGCGUAGCCGACCUGAGAGGGUGAUCGGCCACACUGGAACUGAGACACGGUCCAGACUCCUACGGGAGGCAGCAGUAGGGAAUCUUCCGCAAUGGGCGAAAGCCUGACGGAGCAACGCCGCGUGAGUGAUGAAGGCCUUCGGAUCGUAAAACUCUGUUAUUAGGGAAGAACAAAUGUGUAAGUAACUAUGCACGUCUUGACGGUACCUAAUCAGAAAGCCACGGCUAACUACGUG